UACAGCUGUCACUUCAGUUAUAACUUACAGUGACAUUUUCACUUUCUUUCCUGCAGGGAAUGAAAUUGUGGUCCACAGACAAAAUCUUUUCCAUCCAAGUACACAGUAAAAUGUUUUUUGUCUUUGUCAUGUCUGGCUAUGGCUGUAUAUAACUGUCUUUUCUGUUAAUGCUUUUAGGCAGUGUCAGCUUUUUUCCACAUGCCAGACCCUCCUAACAGGAUCAUGUCUCCAGAGCAAAGCUUCCAAGCAUGAAUGCUUUCAUGAGAUCAGUAUCUGUCUUUUUUACUGGAGUAUAUGGGAAGAAUUUUCCACCUGGCAGAAAUGACAGAGAAUGCUAUUGAAGCUGUGGCCCUUGUUGUAAUGACCUUUUGUGAGUGUGGGAACUGAGGAGCACAUCUAGAUGUUUCUGAAAGGCACACAUGAAGGGACACCCUGUUCCUGGAUUUUUGAGAAUGAAGGCACUGAUGUGCCUUCUCAGUGUGUGUGUGUGUGUAUGUAUGUGUGUUUGUGGGGAGAAUUGCUGGAAAGACAUCUGUGAUCUUGGGGAGAAAGUCGUGUCAUCUCUUGUGUUUGAAGUAUCAACAAGGAUCCUCUCACAAAGAAAACAUAAUAGACUUUCAUUCUGCCUUAUAUCCAGCUUGCCACAGGCUCUACCAAGUAGAAAGCUUCUUCAUUUCUUUGAGAAACUCUGGCAUUUUUUUCUUUUUCCUGCUGAGAGCAGUUUCAUUAUCAGCCCAAAGGUACUUCAAAGGUAGAAUCGCAGCCCUAGGAGUCAACAGUGGCUCUUGAACAUGCACUUUCCAUUUGACAUUAGCAUUUCUU